UUUUCAGUUUUUCGACUUGGAGUGCUUCACAAGCCAGUCUAUGACAACAUCAAUGUUUGUUGAGUUCUUGCAUGAUAUCAUGAAGCAGCAGACUUCUCGGUCCGUAAUGGAUGCCAGGCCCAUUUCAUCAGUUAAUGCCGGUUUACUUAGGGCUUCAGGUUUGUCAGUCUUGUUUCCAAGGACAAGCAAAGGUAUUCCGCUGAGUGAUGGCUUGCUCAGUAGGUCAUGAAGCUCACUUUUCG
rnacentral:misc_RNA from 1 species